rnacentral:rRNA from 1 species
UACGUAGGGCGCAAGCGUUGUCCGGAAUUAUUGGGCGUAAAGAGCUCGUAGGCGGUUUGUCGCGUCUGGUGUGAAAACCUCAGGCUCAACCUGGGGCGUGCAUCGGGUACGGGCAGACUAGAGUGCGGUAGGGGAGACUGGAAUUCCUGGUGUAGCGGUGGAAUGCGCAGAUAUCAGGAGGAACACCGAUGGCGAAGGCAGGUCUCUGGGCCGCAACUGACGCUGGGGAGCGAAAGCAUGGGGAGCGAACAGG